rnacentral:rRNA from 1 species
UACGAAGGGGGCUAGCGUUGUUCGGAAUCACUGGGCGUAAAGCGCACGUAGGCGGACUGGUCAGUUGGGGGUGAAAUCCCGGGGCUCAACCUCGGAACUGCCUUCAAUACUGCCAGUCUUGAGUCCGAGAGAGGUGAGUGGAAUUCCUAGUGUAGAGGUGAAAUUCGUAGAUAUUAGGAAGAACACCAGUGGCGAAGGCGGCUCACUGGCUCGGUACUGACGCUGAGGCGCGAAAGCGUGGGGAGCAAACAGG